GACAGAGGGGGCAAGCGUUGCUCGGAAUCACUGGGCGUAAAGGGCGCGUAGGCGGGAUGGCAAGUCAGUCGUGAAAUCUCUCGGCUCAACCGAGAAACGUCGGCUGAUACUGCCGUUCUUGAGGGAUGCAGAGGAGACUGGAAUUCCCGGUGUAGCGGUGAAAUGUGUAGAGAUCGGGAGGAACACCGGUGGCGAAGGCGGGUCUCUGGGCAUUUCCUGACGCUGAGGCACGAAAGCGUGGGGAGCGAACAGG
rnacentral:rRNA from 1 species